rnacentral:rRNA from 1 species
AUUGAACGCUGGCGGCAGGCCUAACACAUGCAAGUCGAGCGGAGCGGCGGACGGGUGAGUAAUGCCUAGGAAUCUGCCUGGUAGUGGGGGAUAACGUCCGGAAACGGGCGCUAAUACCGCAUACUAUCAGAUGAGCCUAGGUCGGAUGGGCUAGUUGGUGGGGUAAAGGCCUACCAAGGCGACGAUCCGUAACUGGGCUGCGAGGCUGAUCAGUCACACUGGAACUGAGACACGGUGCAGACGCCUACGGGAGGAAGCAGUGGGGAAGAUUGGAAAAUGGGCGAAAGCCUGAUCGAGCCAUGCCGCGUGUGUGAAGAAGGUCUUCGGAUUGUAAAGCACUUUAAGUUGGGAGGCGUUACCAACAGAAGAAGCACCGGCUAACUUCGUGCCAGCAGCCGCGGUAAUAC